rnacentral:rRNA from 1 species
AUGCAUACUCGAGGGCUCUUUCACACGAGACGGCACAGACCCACGCAUGUCUCAUGUCUCGCCCGUCAUCGUCGUCUUCUCCUCCUCAGAUUUAUUACGACAUAUAUAUUAGCUAUCUCCACCAUCUCUUCAUUCAGAGCCAGAAAUAAAGGCAACACCGACCAAGCACAAGCUAGCUUCUUGCAUCUAUCCAUAAUGGACCGGAGCAACAUUGGAAGCCUUGGGUUGGUGGCGGUGGUGGCUGUGGUGUCGACUAGCAUCAUCCUUGUAUCCUGCCACCUCCGUCGCCGCCUCCAAGAUGAUACCAAACUCAACAAGAUCGCCGAGCAACAACGGCAGAGCAAGACGACAAUGAAGGAGGUGGGGUUCAUGGACGAUGUGGCGGAGGAUCUCUCAUCGGAUGAAGAGGAGUGUCCCCGUCGACUGGGUAAGACCGCCAUUGGUGUCCCCAUCCAACCAUCGCUACGCAGGGUCCCUCGAUUCAACAAUUUGGCAUUCGAGUUUAAUUAA